AAAAAACUAUAAAAAAUCUUAUGUUUUGUCAGAUGUGUUGAAGAUUACCACAAACUGAUACAAACACAGUUUUUAAUCCAGUCAUCCCUCGGCAAUCUGACGUCCAUGUUGAGAAAAACGUUAAAUUAAGCUCCCUAUUUAAUAUUCAGAAACGUUACUUACAGAGGAUCUAUACACUGACACAAAGUUUAUUCAGUUUUAUUUCCAUACAUGAAUUUUAUUUCCAUACAUGUGCACUGAAAAUUAAAUAGCACAAUAAAUACUGCCGGUACAUUAUUUAAAUAUAAAAAAUUAUCAGAAACAUGCAUUCCGAAUGAACGUAUAGUAAAUUACAACUCCUCCGUUACCAUUAAUUCGCGUUGUUAGAUUGAUGCUUAAUUUACAUUACAUGGUAGUAAUUACCAAUAUCUAUAAAUAGCUAUAAAUAUUUAUAUAAUACCUUACUGAAUUCUGAUCGUUUAAUUGGCUGUUUAUGAUCACGUGAUACUGAAUAGAAAAUUCCAUUUCCCAAGAGUGCAAUGGAAUACGUUCCAUUGCACUCUUGCGAGUGCAAUUGUACUAAACGUUUUAUUCCAUUGCACUCUUUGUGUUUUCGAUAAAUCGCAUCCGUCAAAAUGCUUCUCGUACGGUGAUCGCGGUUUAUUUUAACCCGAUAUUCAGAACUCAGUAAAUGGGAUUUAACGCAAAUACGACUCGUCAAAAUGGCGGGAGCUUUAUACAGUAAACUUUUUAAUAUUUGUCUAUUUUGGUAUUAUAUAAAACAAAUAAUGAAUGUUUUUAUUCGUGCAAUGGUAAGAUUAUUUUCAUUCGGUGAAAGAUGGAAUGUUCCAUUCAACUCGGCUGUCGCCUCGUUGAAUGGAACAUUCCAUCUUUCACCUCAUGAAAAUAUUCUUACCAUUGCACUCAUAAACAUUCAUUAUUUCUAUACUAUUUACCUGUUUCAUUCGGGGUUUUUCUUUUUAUUAUAUAAAAUCUGAUCUCUAUUUGUUAAAUUGCAAUUGUAUUUUCGAAACAAUGCUUGCGUGAAGUGAAAAUAUUUAGUGAAGGGAAUUACAAAAAUUCUGCUGCAUGCUCUCAACUGCCCACGUCGCCACGUAUCUCUCCCGUUUCUUCGGACGUCGUUUCAAGCUUAAAAACUGAUAAACAUCUUUUCAUUGAGGAAUCUAGUUCAGGCAUGUAACUGUGAGGAAUUAUAAAUGAAGACAAGUUGAAUAAAUCCAGGAACACUUUGUAACGGUCACUGCAAAAGAAAAUUUACAAACUGUGGAAAUCGAAGUGUUCUUGAAAUAUUCGACCAAUUAAUUUGCUCACACCAGAGUUGCAAAAAAGCUGCGGGUUAGGUACCACUCGUGAAGGUUUGCCAUAUAAGUGACGAAGGUUUGAUGUGGAACACUGUAUGCCCAACACUAAUACCCGGCAUAAAACAAAUACAUGACUAGGCAGGAUAUGCUGAUGUUGUGCUGGUAACUAUUGUGAUAAUAUCGAUA
rnacentral:lncRNA from 1 species